rnacentral:rRNA from 1 species
AACGAACGCUGGCGGCAUGCCUAACACAUGCAAGUCGAACGAAGGCUUCGGCCUUAGUGGCGCACGGGUGCGUAACGCGUGGGAAUCUGCCCUUGGGUUCGGAAUAACAGUGAGAAAUUACUGCUAAUACCGGAUGAUGUCGAAAGACCAAAGAUUUAUCGCCCAGGGAUGAGCCCGCGUAGGAUUAGCUAGUUGGUGAGGUAAAGGCUCACCAAGGCGACGAUCCUUAGCUGGUCUGAGAGGAUGAUCAGCCACACUGGGACUGAGACACGGCCCAGAUUCCUACGGGAGGCAGCAGUGGGGAAUAUUGGACAAUGGGCGAAAGCCUGAUCCAGCAAUGCCGCGUGAGUGAUGAAGGCCUUAGGGUUGUAAAGCUCUUUUACCCGGGAUGAUAAUGACAGUACCGGGAGAAUAAGCCCCGGCUAACUCCGUGCCAGCCGCCGCUGUAAAAC